CGGCGUGCACCCGGUGAUUGGGCCGCGGUCGGCACUUCCGCACCGCGGGCCUGGCGGCCGGGGAAGGGCGCUCUGCACCCCKCGCUCCUGCCACCCUAGAGGCGCUCUCGCCCGGAGCGGGCUGGGGGUUCUUGAAGCGCCCGCGGGCGGAGGGUGAGGGGRAAGGAAGGAGGAUUUGCAACAAUACCUCAGGGAGGAGGCAGACGGGGCAGCGGCAGCAGCGGCGGCUGGAGGCGGAGGCAGAGGCGGAGGAGGAGGUGCMCGGGCACUCCCCCUCCCAUUGUCCCCAGCCCCGGACAGGCCCGGCCCCACGCCCCGCACCGGUCCGGGCGAGCGCGCCGCCCGCGCCCAGCGCCCCGCGUCCCGGGUCGUGCAGCCAGCCCUUACCUUGCAGCGCUCGGCUCUCCCCGAUCGCUAAGCUACUUAUCCCGGGAAAGCUCGCGCGGGGCCCGGGAGCGAACCCACAGACAAAAAGUGAAACUUCGGCAGGGCUGGAGCGGCUGCUGACCUCCUCCUGAGCCCCACCCCGGAUUCCCAGCAAGACUCAAAAUUUACAGGAUAUUCAAACUGGCAGAGACAAAACUUUCAACCCAUUCACUUCACCCGUGAGAAUGCUGAAACUUGAAGAAAAGAAAUGAUUUGCACAGAGCCUACGCUCAACAGAUCCAGGAGCGGGACCCGAGUCCCUGUCUCCCCUCAGGAUUGAUUCCAGCCCGCAGGCAGGGUCCUGACUGCCUCCUAACCCCUGAGCUGAGAACCAGGUUAGAUAUCAGACUAGGCAGGAGGACCACCCAGUGAAGUGACUUUGUAUUUCCCUUCCAGAGCUAGUUCUGGGAAGGUUCUGGUUGACAGUGAGCCCUGAGGAACAGAGACAUUCAGUUGCUUCAGGGUAACUUCCCCUGUACUGUGCUGAAAGAGGUGAACCCCAGGAGUUAAAACAACUACAGCUUGCUCUGUACUUACAGCUUCGAAAAAAAGUAUGCGAACUGGGUGGACUGGUUUGAAUAAAGACAAGCCUCUUCUUGGAAGGUUCA
rnacentral:lncRNA from 1 species